UGGGGAAUAUUGCACAAUGGGCGCAAGCCUGAUGCAGCCAUGCCGCGUGUAUGAAGAAGGCCUUCGGGUUGUAAAGUACUUUCAGCGGGGAGGAAGGGAGUAAAGUUAAUACCUUUGCUCAUUGACGUUACCCGCAGAAGAAGCACCGGCUAACUCCGUGCCAGCAGCCGCGGUAAUACGGAGGGUGCAAGCUUUAAUCGGAAUUACUGGGCGUAAAGCGCACGCAGGCGGUUUGUUAAGUCAGAUGUGAAAUCCCCGGGCUCAACCUGGGAACUGCAUCUGAUACUGGCAAGCUUGAGUCUCGUAGGUGGGGGUAGAAUUCCAGAUGUAGCGGUGAAAUGCGUAGAGAUCUGGAGGAAUACCGGUGGCGAAGGCGGCCCCCUGGACGAAGACUGACGCUCAGGUGCGAAAGCGUGGGGAGCAAACAGG
rnacentral:rRNA from 1 species